CUUACGGGGGGCUGCAGUGGGGAAUAUUGGACAAUGGGGGCAACCCUGAUCCAGCCAUGCCGCGUGUGUGAAGAAGGCCCUCGGGUUGUAAAGCACUUUCAGUGAGGAAGAACGCCUGGUGGUUAAUACCCAUCAGGAAAGACAUCACUCACAGAAGAAGCACCGGCUAACUCCGUGCCAGCAGCCGCGGUAAUACGGAGGGUGCGAGCGUUAAUCGGAAUUACUGGGCGUAAAGCGCGCGUAGGUGGCUUGAUAAGCCGGUUGUGAAAGCCCCGGGCUCAACCUGGGAACGGCAUCCGGAACUGUCAAGCUAGAGUGCAGGAGAGGAAGGUAGAAUUCCCGGUGUAGCGGUGAAAUGCGUAGAGAUCGGGAGGAAUACCAGUGGCGAAGGCGGCCUUCUGGACUGACACUGACACUGAGGUGCGAAAGCGUGGGUAGCAAACAGGAUUAGAUACCCUAGUAGUC
rnacentral:rRNA from 1 species